AACUUUGUGCUUGAGUUGUAUGGGUGGGUCAAGAAACACAGGACGUUCGCCCAGGAGACUGGUGUUGGUGUCCCGUCUGAAACCAGAAGUCAAAGUUGA